UGCUCUGUUGCCCAGGCUGGAGUGCAGUGGCNNNNNNNNNNNNNUCUCAAAUACCUGGGUUCAAGCAAUCCUUCCACUUCUGCCUCUCAAAGUGCUGGGAUUACAGGCAUGAGCCAUUGCACUUGGCUUAGCCUUUUUAUCACUGCUUUUUAAAUUAUUGUGCUACAUGAGUCAAAAAUAUCUUUAAAAAAUUUUUUUGAACAAAAAUUCAAUUAAGGCUCACACACUGCAUUUGGUUGUUUUGUUUCCUUUCUUUUCUAAACGAGAACAAUCCCAUUUUUUCAAAUAUCCCUGACCUUCUAAAGAGUCAACCCAGUUUUUUUCUAGAAAUGUCCUACCCCCAGCCCAGGCAUGGUGGCUCAUGCCUGUAAUCCCAGCA
rnacentral:lncRNA from 1 species